rnacentral:rRNA from 1 species
AUUUAACGGCCGCGGUAUCAUAACCGUGCAAAGGUAGCGUAAUCACUUGUCUUCUAAAUAAAGACUUGUAUGAACGGCCAAAUGAGGGCUCAACUGUCUCCUAUAGCCAAUCAAUGAAACUGAUCUUUCAGUACAAAAGCUGAGAUAAAACCACAAGACGAAAAGACCCUGUGGAGCUUUAAGCUACCACUACCCAAACAACCCCCACACAGAAAUAGUAACAUACUACUAGUCUUAAGCUUUAAGUUGGGGCGACUACGGAGACAAAUAGAACCUCCAUGAAUAUAGGCUCACACCCUACUAUACGGCCUACAGGCCUACCAGCAACACGCAUACGACCCAGUAACACUGAGAAUCGGACUAAGUUACCCCAGGGCUAACAGCGCCAUCCCCCUUAAGAGUUCCUAUCGCCAGGGGGGCUUACGACCUCGAUGUUGGAUCAGGACACCCCGGUGGUGCAGCAGCUACCAAAGGUUCGUUUGUUCAACGAUCAAUGUCCUA